GAAUGAAUGUAGAGUCGGCUGUCGCUGGUCCCUUCGGGGGCAUGUGCACGCCUUCUCUUUCAUCCACACACCUGUGCACUUGUGAGACGGAAGCCCUCGGGCGUCCGUCUGCUCUACAUAAACUCAUAUCUAUAAUUUGAAUGUAAUUGAUGUAAUACAUCUUUAAACUAAGUUUCAACAACGGAUCUCUUGGCUCU
rnacentral:misc_RNA from 1 species